GAACGCUAGCUACAGGCUAACACAUGCAAGUCGAGGGGCAGCAUAACGAAAGCUUGCUUUGUUGAUGGCGACCGGCGCACGGGUGAGUAACGCGUAUCCAACCUUCCCCAUAGUAGAGAAUAGCCCGGCGAAAGUCGGAUUAAUGCUCUAUGUUGUAUCAUGAGGACAUCUGAAUAAUACCAAAGGUUUACCGCUAUGGGAUGGGGAUGCGUCUGAUUAGGUUGUUGGCGGGGUAACGGCCCACCAAGCCCACGAUCAGUAGGGUUCUGAGAGGAAGGUCCCCCACAUUGGAACUGAGACACGGUCCAAACUCCUACGGGAGGCAGCAGUGAGGAAUAUUGGUCAAUGGACGGAAGUCUGAACCAGCCAAGUAGCGUGCAGGAUGACGGCCCUAUGGGUUGUAAACUGCUUUUAUACAGGGAUAAAGUGAGGGACGUGUCCCUUUUUGUAGGUACUGUAUGAAUAAGGACCGGCUAAUUCCGUGCCAGCCGCAGC
rnacentral:rRNA from 1 species